AAGCGAUGUGUCCACAGGGCAAGAGAAUCAACAGUGAGGGCUUGGAACUGAUUUAACAGCCUGCUUGUCAGAAGUCCUCUACAGAGUGGUCAUCGCGCACUUGCCCUUUCAAAGUCUUUGUUAUGAAGAGCAAGUUAAAGUGGAUUUUCUUUUUUUGGUCUGGAAAUAGGGAUCUGUUUUUGCGCUGCAGAUGGUCAGGACGCACUAUUCAUCUUAAGGAUAACUUGACAUUUGUUGAUCUUUCAUUAGGGGAAGUAUGGUAUUUAAGAGCAUGGACUUUGGAGCCAGACUGUCUUGGAUUAUUGGAUUCCUGGAUCUGUUGCUUCCUAGCUAUGUAAACUUAAGCAAAUUACAUGACCUCCUAGGCCUCAAUUUAUCUUUUAAAGGAAUAAUUCAUGUAAAAUGCUUAGCACAAUGAUUGGCCCUUAUUAGGCCUACUACAAAUGUAAGCUAUUAUUAUUCCUAUCCAUAAUUUUGCCUUAAGAAUCCUGUAGUAUCUUUCAAACCAUCUUAUUUACUUAUUUACAGUACAUAAACAAAGAGGAGAUGCUCUCCUUAAGAUUAUUAAGGUUCUCAGCUGGACUGAACAGGAGCAAAAGCCUUUCUAAUAUAAUCUUACUUCCUUCUUCUGAAGGAACACUUUCUUUGUGUUACUGUUUGCAAAACGGCAUGUAUUUCUGGGAGUAUUUAUCCAGCCUGGUGAUCCUGCCUGUCUCCUUAGAGGGGAGCUUACUCAACAAAAAUGAAGCACUGGUGAUGGAGAAAGAAAAGUCCAUUAGCAACAAAGGAUGGGGAAGUAAGCCUCAUUUAACUAUAUAGUUGCAAGUAGGGGUUUCUGGUUGGUGAUUCCAGCACAUCUUCACUGAUGUCUGUGAUGGUCCUCAUACACACCAACCUGAACAGCGCAAGAGCCCCUCCCGCACAUGAGACAGCAGAGCAGAAUGAGAAGAAGGAGGUACAGAAGUUAAGUGAGCUGUUCAGGGUAUCAUCUGCCCUUAGGCAAGCCAGAGCAAUGCAGACAUGUCAGGAGUAGUGAACUGAAUUCAGACAAGAUCUCCAAAAUCAAGGACAGGGGGCCAUGAGGAAGGACAACGAAGACCUUAGAUCUCCAUGUGUCAGAGCUGGGAAAUGUGAGAAAGGCAAGCUGGAGAUUAAACCUGGCUUAACAUUUCAAGCGCACAUCUCCUCUUCCCUUUUCAGAAAGCGACUUUGUUGUGGUUUUGCUCCCCACGUGGGUGCUGAGCUGAUCAGCAGUAUCAGACCCUAAAAAGAGCUGAGUUCCUCCCUGAGAAUGACCUGGCCGCGGAGUCGGCGCCUUGCAGGGCAGGGCUCAGUUACUGGACAGCACCCCUCAGGACUCAUGUUGGUGUGGAUCCUGUUCUUGCAAAGAUGCACCAGAUUUUAAGUGAAAGGAAUCAACAAGACGUAAGCCCUUGUAGGAACUUUCUGAUUUUCCUAACAGCAACCCCUCUUGCCAUCCCAGCCAGAUGGUCCCCUGUUCUCCGCCACCCAAAAGCGAGUCUCCUCUCCGGCCUUUGUUGCUGAACUCUCUCUGUCCUGGCCACAGUCUGGACAGUGGCCACCGGCACUGCUGCCAGGCAGACACGCUGACACUACCGCCACUCCGCUCACCGUGCCCCCACCCCGCACGGCCACCACAUCGGAUCGCGUCGCGGAGAACCCCAGCGAGCUGAGUGCCUGUGUGCGGUAGGUAAUGAGGAGGCC
ensembl:lncRNA